rnacentral:rRNA from 1 species
GUUAGCGGCGGACGGGUGAGUAACACGUGGGUAACCUGCCCAUAAGACUGGGAUAACUCCGGGAAACCGGGGCUAAUACCGAAUAAUCCUUCGGACCUCAUGGUCCGAUGUUGAAAGGCGGCUUCGGCUGUCACUACAGGAUGGGCCCGCGGCGCAUUAGCUAGUUGGUGAGGUAACGGCUCACCAAGGCCACGAUGCGUAGCCGACCUGAGAGGGUGAUCGGCCACACUGGGACUGAGACACGGCCCAGACUCCUACGGGAGGCAGCAGUAGGGAAUCUUCCACAAUGGACGAAAGUCUGAUGGAGCAACGCCGCGUGAGUGAAGAAGGUUCUCGGAUCGUAAAACUCUGUUGUGAGGGAAGAACAAGUACCGGAGUAACUGCCGGUACCUUGACGGUACCUCAUUAGAAAGCCACGGCUAACUACGUGCCAGCAGCCGCGGUAAUACGUAGGUGGCAAGCGUUGUCCGGAAUCAUUGGGCG